rnacentral:rRNA from 1 species
AUACUGCAGUCGAACGCACAGCGAAAGGUGCUUGCACCUUUCAAGUGAGUGGCGAACGGGUGAGUAACACGUGGACAACCUGCCUCAAGGCUGGGGAUAACAUUUGGAAACAGAUGCUAAUACCGAAUAAAACUUAGUGUCGCAUGACACAAAGUUAAAAGGCGCUUCGGCGUCACCUAGAGAUGGAUCCGCGGUGCAUUAGUUAGUUGGUGGGGUAAAGGCCUACCAAGACAAUGAUGCAUAGCCGAGUUGAGAGACUGAUCGGCCACAUUGGGACUGAGACACGGCCCAAACUCCUACGGGAGGCUGCAGUAGGGAAUCUUCCACAAUGGGCGAAAGCCUGAUGGAGCAACGCCGCGUGUGUGAUGAAGGCUUUCGGGUCGUAAAGCACUGUUGUAUGGGAAGAACAGCUAGAAUAGGAAAUGAUUUUAGUUUGACGGUACCAUACCAGAAAGGGACGGCUAAAUACGUGCCAGCAGCCGCGGUAAUACGUAUGUCCCGAGCGUUAUCCGGAUUUAUUGGGCGUAAAGCGAGCGCAGACGGUUUAUUAAGUCUGAUGUGAAAGCCCGGAGCUCAACUCCGGAAUGGCAUUGGAAACUGGUUAACUUGAGUGCAGUAGAGGUAAGUGGAACUCCAUGUGUAGCGGUGGAAUGCGUAGAUAUAUGGAAGAACACCAGUGGCGAAGGCGGCUUACUGGACUGCAACUGACGUUGAGGCUCGAAAGUGUGGGUAGCAAACAGGAUUAGAUACCCUGGUAGUCCACACCGUAAACGAUGAACACUAGGUGUUAGGAGGUUUCCGCCUCUUAGUGCCGAAGCUAACGCAUUAAGUGUUCCGCCUGGGGAGUACGACCGCAAGGUUGAAACUCAAAGGAAUUGACGGGGACCCGCACAAGCGGUGGAGCAUGUGGUUUAAUUCGAAGCAACGCGAAGAACCUUACCAGGUCUU